rnacentral:rRNA from 1 species
GACGAACGCUGGCGGCGUGCUUAACACAUGCAAGUCGAACGGAAAGGCCCUGCUUUUGUGGGGUGCUCGAGUGGCGAACGGGUGAGUAACACGUGAGUAACCUGCCCUUGACUUUGGGAUAACUUCAGGAAACUGGGGCUAAUACCGGAUAGGAGCUACUGCUGCAUGGUGGGGGUUGGAACGUUUCGGCGGUUGGGGAUGGACUCGCGGCUUAUCAGCUUGUUGGUGGGGUAGUGGCUUACCAAGGCUUUGACGGGUAGCCGGCCUGAGAGGGUGACCGGCCACAUUGGGACUGAGAUACGGCCCAGACUCCUACGGGAGGCAGCAGUGGAGAAUAUUGCACAAUGGGCGGAAGCCUGAUGCAGCAACGCCGCGUGCGGGAUGACGGCCUUCGGGUUGUAAACCGCUUUCGCCUGUGACGAAGCGUGAGUGACGGUAAUGGGUAAAGAAGCACCGGCUAACUACGUG